rnacentral:rRNA from 1 species
GACGAACGCUGGCGGCGUGCUUAACACAUGCAAGUCGAACGAUGAAGCUGGAGCUUGCUCCGGUGGAUUAGUGGCGAACGGGUGAGUAACACGUGAGUAAUCUGCCCUUGACUCUGGGAUAACUGCGGGAAACUGUAGCUAAUACCGGAUACGACACCUUCGGGCAUCCGAUGGGUGUGGAAAGAAUUUCGGUCAAGGAUGAACUCGCGGCCUAUCAGCUAGUUGGUGAGGUAAUGGCUCACCAAGGCGACGACGGGUAGCCGGCCUGAGAGGGUGCCCGGCCACACUGGGACUGAGACACGACCCAGACUCCUACGGGAGGCAGCAGUGGGGAAUAUUGCACAAUGGGCGAAAGCCUGAUGCAGCAACGCCGCGUGAGGGAUGAAGGCCUUCGGGUUGUAAACCUCUUUUAGUUGGGAAGAAGCGAAAGUGACGGUACCAACAGAAAAAGCACCGGCUAACUACGUGCCAGCAGCCGCCGUAA